ACAACCUCAACUCCCUUCUUCAUUGUGGAGAAAGAGUUGGAUUUGAGCAUUUCCACAAACUUUUGGAGGAUUGCUUGAAAUAUGAGGUUCGGCCGGCAGUUGCCUGGGCUACAAGCAUUUCAUACUUAAUCCCGUCAAACGGAUUAUAUCCUUUGCUGCAGCCAACAUACAGGGUAACUUUUGCCAGUGUUCCGACUGAUGCAGGAAAGUUGAGAACCUUUUUGCUUCUCUUCUAA
rnacentral:misc_RNA from 1 species